rnacentral:rRNA from 1 species
GACGAACGCUGGCGGCGUGCCUAACACAUGCAAGUCGAGCGGAGUCGAUCGACGGAAGCCUUCGGGCGGAAGAUGGUUGACUUAGCGGCGGAUGGGUGAGUAACGCGUGGGGCAACCUGCCUCGAAGACCGGGAUAACAGCCCGAAAGGGCUGCUAAUACCGGAUGUGGUCAAGGAUCCGCAUGGAUUUUUGAUUAAAGGGGAAACCCGUUUCGAGAUGGGCCCGCGUCCUAUCAGCUAGUUGGUGAGGUAAAAGCUCACCAAGGCGACGACGGGUAGCCGGCCUGAGAGGGUGACCGGCCACACUGGAACUGAGACACGGUCCAGACUCCUACGGGGGGCAGCAGUGGGGAAUCUUCCACAAUGGGCGAAAGCCUGAUGGAGCGACGCCGCGUGAGCGAAGAAGGCCUUCGGGUUGUAAAGCUCUGUCUGGAGGGACGAAGGAAGUGACGGUACCUCCGGAGGAAGCCACGGCUAACUACGUGCCAGCAGCCGCGGUAACACGAGAGUA